AUGUCAACCCAAGCACAAAGUUUUUUUUGGAUGGUGCUUCAUGAUAGAGUAAACACAAGAAACCUACUUAGAAGAAAAACAUUUCAUUUGGACACAUACAACUGUGCUGUGAUGGAUUGUCAACAGGAAGAAACCUUAUUUCACCUACUCUGGGGAUGCCCUUUUGCUGCUUUUUGUUGGAACUUUGUUUGCCCCAACAGAAAUGUAGCUCUGUCAGUCUUACAGACCGUUGAAGAUAUGAAGCAGACUUUGGCCUUGCCUUUUGCUAUGGACAUUUAUUAUUUUGGCUUCUUGGGCCAUCUGGAUAACUAG
rnacentral:rRNA from 1 species